UACGUAGGGUGCGAGCGUUGUCCGGAAUUAUUGGGCGUAAAGGGCUCGUAGGCGGUCUGUCGCGUCGGGAGUGAAAACUCAGGGCUUAACCCUGAGCCUGCUUCCGAUACGGGCAGACUAGAGGUAUGCAGGGGAGAACGGAAUUCCUGGUGUAGCGGUGAAAUGCGCAGAUAUCAGGAGGAACACCAGUGGCGAAGGCGGUUCUCUGGGCAUUACCUGACGCUGAGGAGCGAAAGUGUGGGGAGCGAACAGG
rnacentral:rRNA from 1 species